CCCCAGUCCCAGCCUCAGUGUCGGGAGCACGGCCAGCAGGAGGGCAUGCGCAGUGGGGGAAAAGCCCUGGCUCAUGGCUGGGUCUGCUCAGUGUCUCCUACCAUGUCCCGCUCUCCCCUUUACCAUGUAGCGUCUUGUCUUUACACAUGUUCUCCACCACUCACCAAAGUGUGUACCCCUUUAUUAGUGCCAGAAGUUCAGAAAUUACAGAAGGAAACCCAGUGAAUCGCAGAAGUGGGACUUCGUACAAGUUUCUGGUGCAAGCACCAAAAAGAUUGCAAACCAGGCGCACUCAAACGAAACACGGAGUGUGGGUGUGGUCCUAAAGCAGCUGGUACAGUGAGACAGCAGCGCCUGGGUACUCUUCACAGUGAUGGCUGCUAAGUUUCUCCCAGGGAAUUGCCAAGCUGGUCCUCUGUGUUCUACUUAAACACGAUGAUGGGGGUUUUGUUCUUGUGCAUCUCCAGGAAGUCUGUGGUAUACACUCGAUGUCAGCCCGUUUCCCAGAAACGUCUUGAAUGGUAAGAACAAGACUGUUUGUUGUAUGCUCAACUGUACGUGCAGCAACGCUUCUUGUGUCUUCUCACCAUCACUUCCUACCUCACCUCCUCCACCUUUGGCCUUCCUUGUCACAUAAUAUCAUGGUCACCUCACAGGACAGAGCUGGAAUGUUGGGCCCAUGGCCCCAACUGCUCUGUGGGUUGUCGCUUGGAACAGGUUGUGGGGGGAGCAGGACAAGGAGAGUUGGCCCAGGAGACCGCUCUGAACACCACGCUGGGUGGCGAGGGUGAAGCGGGAGCGUUUUCUCCUCAGUCUCAAACCUGCACCAGGGCUUCAUGCAGAACAGGCAAUGAGCAGUUUUGACUCUCUUGUGAGUGAGUAAGACACCACUUAGUGAGCACAAGUAUUUCUGCCCUUCCUCUGCCUUCCAGCCUGAGCCCAAGGUGUGGGCUCGAGUGAAGGGAACCUGAGCUGUGGACAAGCAUACUGAGCAGGUGAGGCGACUCUGGCACAGGGGCACCCUCAACCAACCCGUGAUAAGCAUUUGGGGUGGUCCUGUCAGGCAAGCUCCUGGAAGACGACUGCUUACUGGAAGUCAGGGAAAUAACUGUGUCUUUGCUCUGUGUUUGUUUCUGUUUCCAUUCUUGCUUAAGAGAUUGCAAUUGCCCUUUCCACGUCCCUUUUGAUCUUCAUGAAAUGACACAGGGCAAAAGGGGACAAACAGGGAAAAUGGGAGCAAAACUGGCAAAUACCACUGGAAGACCAGAAAAGGCAAUCCCUGAUUGACAAGGGGGACGUUCCUGCACAGUUUUCUCCACCCAAUGCCUCACUAUUCAACCCUUGGCUCUGCCUGUCCAGAUCGCCCAGAGGGGCUGCCGCCAGCCUCCCAGCCACUGGGGCGCCCCCCUUCCCCGCCCUUGUUGGCUGUGUUCAGACUAGCCCCCUGCCCCACCACCAUGUCUCAAUGGCGCCCUAAGCAAUUUCCUGUGUGCUGAACCAGCCCUUCUCUGCAGUCCUAAUUAAUGAAACCCCAGGUGAGUGAAAGCAAAGCACAGCAGCAGAUUCAUAGAGGAGAUGCUUUUUAGGCAAGAGCGGGGAGAUUUAGAAAGUUGGCUCUCAAGUCCCGCAUAAUGACUCCCCUUUAGACUGAAGCCAGAAUCAUCAACAGUGAGAGGGUCAAGUCCAGUAGCAGUGGUUCCCCUUGCUCUCCUACAGAAACACCUCGUCCUGCGCGUGGCUGAAACCACCCAGCGGUACAAGCUCUCUGUUCCGACUCCAGUCGCCUCUCCCUGAUCACCAGACAGCAAAUUUCUUCCCAUCUGUGUGAUUGCCAAGCAUGUUGGUCUUGAAACUUUUAUUCAGUUCCUUCAUCAUUUUCUCUCUAAUUAUUUUGUGCUCUUCUUUCCUAUUCUUUGCUACACCCCUCUGAACACUCCAUAUUGGCAAUACCCCCCCAAUUUAGUCUCUGGAAUUGGCCAUAUGCUUGUAGCUGUUGCUGGUUCAACUCAAAGACCCUGGACUUCUAGUAAUAAAGCCUGAGUUAAAGGGACUUCGUUUUGGUGACCGCUUUUUUGCACCAUUGGUUCUUAUUGGGUUUGAGCUCCACUAAGAGCUCCAGAUCUUUUCUACUGAAAUUAUCCAGUUAGAACACCUCCAGUCUGGUCUUCUGAAAUCUAUUUUUGGAAGAACUAUCAUUUUAGAAUUUUCAAAAUAAUUAGCAGCUUUUUUAAAGGUUUUAUUUAUUCAUUCAUUUAUUUAUUUAUUUGGGAGAGAGAGAGACAGAGAUACCAAGAGAGAGCAAGAGCAGGGAAGAGACGGGGGAGCCCACCGUGGCACCCGGUCCCAGGACCCUGGGAUCAUAACCUGACGCAAAGGCAGACAUUUAACCUACUGAGUCACUGAGCUACCCCAUAUCCAGCUGGUUUUAGUGCAGGGUUCUAGCUUACCAUUUUGUUUCCUGGCCUUAGAAUGUCUCAUGGCAAAUAUUACUUAGAACAAUAGUUUUUCCUCCAGAGAAUUAAGAAAGCUAGAAGCUUGAGUUAGUCUUAUUAUCUCAAGCUUCACAGAAAAGGGGGGAGAAAUUUGAUGUCAUUAUUUUUUUAAAUACUCCAAUAUUAUAAACAAUAAUGGGUCCUUUAUGAUCUAUAGUAAUAUAAGGUGUAACCAGCACUCACAUAAAGAAAGAAAAUCCGAGAAGUGCCCCUAAUGCUCUCCAGGGAUGACCUCUAACUGAACUUUUAAGAGCCUGGGUCAAUUUUAGCCAUUCUUGUACUUUAUAUAAAUGGGGUCAUGUACUAGGCAUUCUUUCGUAUCUGCCUUCUGUUUUUGUUUUUCGUUUUUCUUUUUUGCUUACCAUUAUGGUUGAGAUUUAUCCAUAUUAUAAUACGUAGCAGUAAGUUGUGCAUUGUCACUGCUAUCAGUAUUCUAUUGUGUGACUAUAACCUAAUUUAUAAUAUUUGUAUACUUUAUAAUUUAUGAAUAAAUAUAUAAUCUGUAUAAUUUAUCCAAUUAAUGGAGGCUAUAUUGUUUUUGCAUUUUCU